rnacentral:rRNA from 1 species
GACGAACGCUGGCGGCGUGCUUAACACAUGCAAGUCGAACGGAAAGGCCCUGCUUUUGUGGGGUGCUCGAGUGGCGAACGAGUGAGUAACAAGUGAGUAACCUGCCCUUGACUUUGGGAUAACUUCAGGAAACUGGGGCUAAUACCGGAUAGGAGCUCCUGCUGCAUGGUGGGGGUUGGAAAGUUUCGGCGGUUGGGGAUGGACUCGCGGCUUAUCAGCUUGUUGGUGGGGUAGUGGCUUACCAAGGCUUUGACGGGUAGCCGGCCUGAAAGGGUGACCGGCCACAUUGGGACUGAGAUACGGCCCAGACUCCUACGGGAGGCAGCAGUGGGGAAUAUUGCACAAUGGGCGGAAGCCUGAUGCAGCAACGCCGCGUGCGGGAUGACGGCCUUCGGGUUGUAAACCGCUUUCGCCUGUGACGAAGCGUGAGUGACGGUAAUGGGUAAAGAAGCACCGGCUAACUACGUG